rnacentral:snRNA from 1 species
AUGUUCACUUUGGCAGCACAUAUCCUAAAAUCAGAAUGACACAAAAGAUUAGCAUGGCCCCCUGUACAAAGAUGACACACAAAUUCAUGAAAUGUUCCAUAUUUUA